UGAAAUAUGGAGCUUUCACUCUGUGUCCAGACAUCUAUAUAUCGUCGCUGUCAGACGGGAAAUCAUUUCUAUUGGUCGCCCUUUACGCCUGACUGUGGAAGGAGCUUUUGACUAAACCUCCUAACUCAAACUGUCAGUCAAACCUCAUAACUCCACCCACCUCUAUCGAGAAUGAAGUGCCAAACACAUUUUAGACCAUCUCUGCUUGUUUGCAAUGCGAGGGUAAAUAAACAACUGGUUGUUUGA